UACGGAGGGUGCGAGCGUUAUCCGGGAUUCACUGGGUUUAAAGGGUGCGUAGGUGGGCAGGUAAGUCAGUGGUGAAAUCUCCGGGCUUAACCCGGAAACUGCCAUUGAUACUAUCAGUCUUGAAUACCGUGGAGGUAAGCGGAAUAUGUCAUGUAGCGGUGAAAUGCUUAGAUAUGACAUAGAACACCAAUGCGAAGCAGCU
rnacentral:rRNA from 1 species